GUUUACUACGCAAGACGAGAUUUUAAAGCAAUAGUCAUAAUCGCUGAUGGGGUUCCCCUUGGUUAAGAGUUAAUGCUCUUGGGUUCUAGGAUUCGCGAUCGCGAUGGUAAACAAACGCAACAGCUACCAGCUACUGUCUUAUCAAUAAGUAACCUUGCCACACAGCCAUAAGGGCGAAUGGUCUCGAUCGCUGAAGGGAAUGGAUGAAUCCACUAUUUAAGCUCGUGUUUCGCUCGCGAUCGAUUUAGUUUCUGAAUCUUGUGUACUGGAGACGUCGACAGUUACAUAGUGAUCAUGUCCAAAUUGAAUGUUACAUUGCUCUGCAUUGGGCUAUCGAUGUUAGUAGUGUGGACAGAAGCAACCGAGGAAGAUCUAUUCUUCCGUAAGAACUAUGAGUCAAACGAAUCGACCGAAUGGGCUCGGAAGGAGACCAAAAGACGAGAAUAGUGCAUAAAAAACACUGGCUCGGAUGCCACCUACACGGAGUAUACGGAAUCAUUUUAUAAGUUUAUGUCUUGUUCUCCGAGACAAUUCCAAGCGAAACGCGAGGAGCCUUUUACUCCAAAUACUGUGCCAGGGUGCCAUCGGUCGUCUCUUGUUUGGAGGAAUCGCUGAUGGGUAUGCGACCAUGUCUUAAGCAGGGUACUUUACAAAUUGUUGCACUAAAUACGUGAGACACAAAGAAAUGGCU